rnacentral:rRNA from 1 species
CGGCGAUGGUUCAUUCAAAUUUCUGCCCUAUCAACUUUCGAUGGUAGGAUAGUGGCUACCAUGGUUUCAACGGGUAACGGGGAAUUAGGGUUCUAUUCCGGAGAGGGAGCCUGAGAAACGGCUACCACAUCCAAGGAAGGCAGCAGGCGCGCAAAUUACCCAAUCCCGACACGGGGAGGUAGUGACAAUAAAUACUGAUACAGGGCUCUUUUGGGUCUUGUAAUUGGAAUGAGUACAAUUUAAAUCCCUUAACGAGGAACAAUUGGAGGGCAAGUCUGGUGCCAGCAGCCGCGGUAAUUCCAGCUCCAAUAGCGUAUAUUAAAGUUGUUGCAGUUAAAAAGCUCGUAGUUGAACCUUGGGCUGGCUGGCCCGGUCCGCCUCACCGCGUUGCCACUGGUCCCGGCCGGGUCUUUCCCUUCUGGGAGGCCGCAUGCCCUUCACUGGGUGUGUCGGGGAAACCAGGACUUUUACUUUGAAAAAAUUAGAGUG